rnacentral:pre_miRNA from 1 species
CGGGGGAGGCCGGAUCCUGGGCUGUGUCCCGGCGCCCUGUGCUCCGGGGCCUGCGCUGUUGGAUUCGCGCUCCCGCCCGGCAGCCCCCU